rnacentral:rRNA from 1 species
GGAAUAUUGGACAAUGGGGGCAACCCUGAUCCAGCCAUGCCGCGUGUGUGAAGAAGGCUUUCGGGUUGCACAGCACUUUCAGUGGGGAAGAAGGCCUUGGGCUUAAUACGCUUGAGGAAGGACAUCACCCACAGAAGAAGCACCGGCCAACUCCGUUCCAGCCGCCGCGGUAAUACGGAGGGGGCGAGCGUUAAUCGGAAUUACUGGGCGUAAAGCGCGCGUAGGCGGCUAAGUAAGCCGGUUGUGAAAGCCCCGGGAUCAACCUGGGAACGGCAUCCGGAACUGUUUAGCUAGAGUGCAGGAGAGGAAGGUAGAAUUCCCGGUGUAGCGGUGAAAUGCGUAGAGAUCGGGAGGAAUACCAGUGGCGAAGGCGGCCUUCUGGACUGACACUGACGCUGAGGUGCGAAAGCGUGGGUAGCA